rnacentral:rRNA from 1 species
GCAAGUCGAGCGGAAACGAUCCUAGCUUGCUAGGAGGCGUCGAGCGGCGGACGGGUGAGUAAUGCAUAGGAAUCUGCCCGGUAGUGGGGGAUAACUUGGGGAAACCCAAGCUAAUACCGCAUACGCCCCAAGGGGGAAAGCAGGGGAUCUUCGGACCUUGCGCUAUCGGAUGAGCCUAUGUCGGAUUAGCUUGUUGGUGAGGUAAUGGCUCACCAAGGCGACGAUCCGUAGCUGGUCUGAGAGGAUGAUC